GGGGGCGUACUGGUUUCGACGGGGGAAAAGAUGGGUUGGGUAGCGAGCCGAGUUGCCGCCAGCUCGUUAAAAAGGUGGGAACUUAAAAUAACUGCAGAAGACAAUUUUGCACUAGCAGCCUAAAACAGGCUGCUCGUCCGGCUAAGUUUCCUCGCGGCUUAGUACAGGGCGUCACCGAGCGAGGGUACCCUGGAGCCUUUUUCCCUGAGAGGCUUUAAGGGGAAAGCUAUCAGGGAUAGUUCGAGAAAAACCUGUCCAUGGGUUUUUAAGAGCGAAACAAAAAACAUGGACUGCGCUCGGAGAGACUCAGCUGGUCUUUCUUUCGGACGGGGGUUCGACUCCCCCCGCCUCCACCA
rnacentral:tmRNA from 1 species